UGUUCGAAGAGCUGAAGGUGAAAGUUCCUUCAAAGCCUGUGAGGGAGGAGAGUCGUCCUGCAGACAAAACCAGGUCAGACUCCAGAGGAUGUUUGAAGACGUUUGUUCUGUUCCGGCACGGCUGUCCUGAUGUCAAGGAGGCUCCCGCUGUGGAUUUGGUGCCCUGGGACUCGGC
rnacentral:lncRNA from 1 species